rnacentral:rRNA from 1 species
UUGGCGUGGGGGCACCCUGACCGCAAUGCCGCGUGAGUGAAGAAGGCCUUCGGGUUGUAAAGCUCUUUUGUCAGGGAAGAAACAGCAGCUCUAACACAGUCUGCGAAUGACGGUACCUGAAGAAUAAGCACCGGCUAACUACGUGCCAGCAGCCGCGGUAAUACGUAGGGUGCGAGCGUUAAUCGGAAUUACUGGGCGUAAAGCGUGCGCAGGCGGUUAUACAAGACAGGCGUGAAAUCCCCGGGCUUAACCUGGGAAUGGCGCCUGUGACUGUAUAGCUAGAGUGUGUCAGAGGGGGGUAGAAUUCCACGUGUAGCAGUGAAAUGCGUAGAUAUGUGGAGGAAUACCAAUGGCGAAGGCAGCCCCCUGGGAUAACACUGACGCUCAUGCACGAAA